CAUGGUUUCGCGGGACAAACUUCGCGUUUUUCUUGUGCUUCUUACAAUAGCUGCCAUCAUCUCAGAUGUCUGCGCUGAACCUUCAACAGCUGGCGAGAUUGUGACAAGCGGAGACCGCGAAUUGCGUUUUUGGAAGAAUCUCCUGCGGCGUGGUGUAAAAAGCAUCGGAGGGUUUUUAAAAAAGAAAGUAAUCGAUAGGGUCCGAAACGUGCAAAGUUACACGCAGAAACAGCGUGUGCAGCAGCCACAAUAUGUUAAUCGGCCGCCCAUUGCGCAGUCACAACCCAUACAGCGGACGCAAUAUUAUGCUCAACAGCAGCAGCAGCAGCAGCCACAGCAGCAGCCACAGCAGUACGGCCAACCAAGGUGCGUGCUGCAGUAUCGCUGAUGAUGAAAACAUCUUUGUUUCAUUUUCUGAUGAAAAAAAUUGUUUGAAAAGUGAAUGCGAUGUUCCAUUUUUGUGUUUUCUGUGCAAGCAAAAAUUAAAAUGAAUAAACAUUUA